AAGUCGUAACAAGGUUUCCGUAGGUGAACCUGCGGAAGGAUCAUUACCGUGCCCGCGAGUGCCGGCCCCCCUCGAAACCGAGGAGGCGAUUGGCCGGCGCCGCGUUCGGCCCAACCGUGUCUAUCUGAACCUGUUGCUUCGGCGGGCCUGCGGGUCUUGCUCGCUGCCGGGGGCCCCUGCGGUUCCGGGCGCGUGUCCGCCGAAGACGCCUAGAACUACUGUUGAAGUUGGCGGUCUGAGUAGGCUUGAUAAUCAUUAAAACUUUCAACAACGGAUCUCUUGGUUCCG
rnacentral:misc_RNA from 1 species